rnacentral:rRNA from 1 species
GACAGAGGGUGCAAACGUUGUUCGGAAUUACUGGGCGUAAAGCGCGUGUAGGCUGCUUGGAAAGUCGGAUGUGAAAGCCCUGGGCUCAACCUAGGAAGUGCAUUCGAAACUUCCAAGCUCGAGUUUCGGAGAGGAAGGCGGAAUUCUCGGUGUAGAGGUGAAAUUCGUAGAUAUCGAGAGGAACAUCGGUGGCGAAGGCGGCCUUCUGGACGAUGACUGACGCUGAGACGCGAAAGCGUGGGGAGCAAACAGGAUUAGAUACCCUGGUAGUCCACGCCGUAAACGAUGGGUGCUAGGUGUCGCGGGCUUUGACCCCUGCGGUGCCGUAGCUAACGCAUUAAGCACCCCGCCUGGGGAGUACGGCCGCAAGGCUAAA